AGCGAACGCUGGCGGCAGGCCUAACACAUGCAAGUCGAGCGGCCGUAGCAAUACGGCAGCGGCAGACGGGAGAGUAACACGUGGGAACGCGGCCUUCGGUUCGGGAUAACUCAGGGAAACUUGGGCUAAUACCGGAUACGCCCUUACGGGGAAAGAUUUAUUGCCGAAGGAACGGCCCGCGUCCGAUUAGCUUGUUGGUGAGGUAACGGCUCACCAAGGCGACGAUCGGUAGCUGGUCUGAGAGGAUGACCAGCCUCACUGGGACUGAGACACGGCCCAGACUCCUACGGGAGGCAGCAGUGGGGAAUAUUGGACAAUGGGCGCAAGCCUGAUCCAGCCAUGCCGCGUGGGUGAUGAAGGCCCUAGGGUUGUAAAGCCCUUUCAGCGGGGAAGAUAAUGACGGUACCCGCAGAAGAAGCCCCGGCUAACUUCGUGCCAGCCGCCGCUGUAAAAC
rnacentral:rRNA from 1 species